UCCGUAGGUGACCUGCGGAAGGACAUUGU
rnacentral:rRNA from 1 species